UACGUAGGGACCAAGCGUUGUUCGGAUUUACUGGGCGUAAAGGGCGCGUAGGCGGCAAUUCAAGUCAGCUGUGAAAUCUCCGGGCUUAACUCGGAACGGUCAGCUGAUACUGCUUCGCUAGAGUGCAGAAGGGGCAAUCGGAAUUCUUGGUGUAGCGGUGAAAUGCGUAGAUAUCAAGAGGAACACCUGAGGUGAAGACGGGUUGCUGGGCUGACACUGACGCUGAGGCGCGAAAGCUAGGGUAGCAAACGGG
rnacentral:rRNA from 1 species